rnacentral:rRNA from 1 species
GGAAUUUUGGACAAUGGGGGCAACCCUGAUCCAGCGACGCCGCGUGAAGGAUGAAGGUCUUCGGAUUGUAAACUUCUUUGGAUGGGGAUGAAUGCCUGCGUGAAAAACGCAGGGUGACAGUACCCGUUGAAUAAGCCACGGCUAACUACGUGCCAGCAGCCGCGGUAAUACGUAGGUGGCAAGCGAUACGCGGAAUCACUAGGCGUAAAGCGCAGGUAGGCGGUUCGGUAAGUCUUUUGUGAAAGCUCCCGGCUCAACUGGGAGAGGCCAAGGGAAACUACCGGACUCGAGUGUGGUAGGGGAUACUGGAAUUCCUGGUGUAGCGGUGAAAUGCGUAGAUAUCAGGAGGAAUACCUAUGGCGAAAGCAGGUAUCUGGGCCAUCACUGACGCUGAGCUGCGAAAGCUAGGGGAGCAAA